rnacentral:rRNA from 1 species
GACGAACGCUGGCGGCGUGCUUAACACAUGCAAGUCGAACGAUGACGACCGAGCUUGCUCGGUCUGAUUAGUGGCGAACGGGUGAGUAACACGUGAGCAACCUGCCCUUCACUCUGGGAUAACUUCGGGAAAUCGGGGCUAAUACCGGAUAUGAGCUCCUGUCGCAUGGCGGGGGUUGGAAAGUUUUUCGGUGAAGGAUGGGCUCGCGGCUUAUCAGUUUGUUGGUGGGGUAGUGGCUUACCAAGGCGAUGACGGGUAGCCGGCCUGAGAGGGUGACCGGCCACACUGGGACUGAGACACGGCCCAGACUCCUACGGGAGGCAGCAGUGGGGAAUAUUGCACAAUGGGCGAAAGCCUGAUGCAGCGACGCCGCGUGAGGGAUGACGGCCUUCGGGUUGUAAACCUCUUUCAGCAGGGACGAAGCGAAAGUGACGGUACCUGCAGAAGAAGCGCCGGCUAACUACGUG